GCUCAGGGUUCGAAGCACUUAUCGAAGCUUCGGGUUCACACUCUCAUCACUACGCGUCUGGAUUAGAGAUCUCAGUUGAGGAAAACAUCUUUUUAAAGGAAGUUCAUCUUUUACCUGGCCUGGUUGAAUUUAUGUUUUUUAAAGGAGGGAAUGUACACUGUGACAUUAGGAGGUGGCCAGCCUGAUGAAAGCAUUCAGGACCUGCAGAGGAAAAUACUGAGCUGCAGUCCCAGGAUUUCAUGUGGAACCCCACUCCCCACUAACGCCAGAUAACCCUGGUGGUAGUGUUCUUGGGCCCUGUGGGACAGGGUUGCGAAGGGCGGGAGUUACCCCUCCCUGCUGUUCUUCGCUGCUCGCCACUGAUCGUCACUGGGAGGAAGAACAAUGAUGUAAUGCUGGAUGAUGCACUGGAGGGGGCAGAGUUGGACUGAAGUGAUCAGGUUCCAUCUUUACUGCAAAGUUGCUUCAUAGGCCGAAGUAAAAACCACAGGAAGAGCUGAUGCUUCAGUCUGCAGCAUGACAUCAUGGAGGUCGGAGCUGCCUCCACCAGACUGUGA